AUUGAACGCUGGCGGCAGGCUUAACACAUGCAAGUCGAACGAGUGGCGGACGGGUGAGUAAUGCAUGGGAACCUACCUAUUGGAGGGGGAUAACUACGGGAAAGUGUAGCUAAUACCGCGUACCUUCAGAGGAGGCCAGGUGGGAUUUGGUAGUUGUGGGGGUAAAGGCUAACAAAGACGAAGAUCUCUAUCUGGUCUGAGAGGAUGACCAGCCACACGGGGACUGAGACACGGCCCAGAGUCCUACGGGAGGCAGCAGUGGGGAAUAUUGCGCAAGGGGGGAAACCUGCCGCAGCCAUGCGGCGGGAAUGAAGAGGGCCGUCGGGUUGUAAAGUUCUUGCGGUAGGGAGGCGGGAACUACAGAAGAAGCACCGGCUAACUCCGUGCCAGCAGCCGCGGUAAGAC
rnacentral:rRNA from 1 species